AGUGAACGCUGGCGGUAGGCCUAACACAUGCAAGUCGAACGGCAGCACAGGAGAGCUUGCUCUCUGGGUGGCGAGUGGCGGACGGGUGAGGAAUACAUCGGAAUCUACUCUGUCGUGGGGGAUAACGUAGGGAAACUUACGCUAAUACCGCAUACGACCUACGGGUGAAAGCAGGGGACCUUCGGGCCUUGCGCGAUUGCAUGAGCCGGUGUCGGAUUAGCUAGUUGGCGGGGUAAAGGCCCACCAAGGCGACGAUCCGUAGCUGGUCUGAGAGGAUGAUCAGCCACACUGGAACUGAGACACGGUCCAGACCCCUACGGGAGGCAGCAGUGGGGAAUAUUGGACAAUGGGCGCAAGCCUGAUCCAGCCAUACCGCGUGGGUGAAGAAGGCCUUCGGGUUGUAAAGCCCUUUUGUUGGGAAAGAAAUCCAGCUGGCUAAUACCCGGUUGGGAUGACGGUACCCAAAGAAUAAGCACCGGCUAACUUCGUGCCAGCAGCCGCCGUAA
rnacentral:rRNA from 1 species